rnacentral:rRNA from 1 species
GAGGAAUAUUGGUCAAUGGACGGAAGUCUGAACCAGCCAUGCCGCGUGCAGGAUGACGGCCCUAUGGGUUGUAAACUGCUUUUAUUCGGGAAUAAACCUCUUUACGAGUAGAGAGCUGAAGGUACCGAAUGAAUAAGCACCGGCUAACUCCGUGCCAGCAGCCGCGGUAAUACGGAGGGUGCAAGCGUUAUCCGGAAUCAUUGGAUUUAAAGGGUCCGCAGGCGGAUAUAUAAGUCAGUGGUGAAAUCCUGCAGCUUAACUGCAGAACUGCCAUUGAUACUGCUUAGCUUGAAUCAACUUGAGGUGGAUGGAAUAUUACAUGUAGCGGUGAAAUGCUUAGAUAUGUAAUAGAACACCGAUUGCGAAGGCAGUUCACUAAGGUUGUAUUGACACUGAGGCACGAAAGCGUGGGGAUCAAACA